GGAACGAUGUAAUCUUUGUGAAACUCUCUUAUAUUGAAAAUCCUAUUUUAUUCAUAUACUUGUAUUAUCAACAGUUUGAGUUUUCUUCUCUGUACUUUAAAGUUUGCAUUGUUUAACUCAUUCAGUGUGAUGAUUUUUUAUUUUGUCGAUAUGGGGACGUACGGGGAAGUCUAGAACUGAGAAGAAUUAUCUUGAUUAUGAAAUAUUGCCUAGAGAUAGGAAUAAGACGAUCAAUUGCAUUAAGCUUCUGUCAUUAAUGCAUUAGUAAUUGUUAGGGAGACUAGAGAUGGUAAAGUAGUAAUUAAGAUAAUAGGCUCUUUUCGUCGAGAGAUCGGG
rnacentral:lncRNA from 1 species